rnacentral:misc_RNA from 1 species
CAAAAAAAAAGGUUGUGAAGCUGUGAAAUUCGUAAGCUGUUGAUAUACUUAAUAGGAGUCUGUUGAUUGUUAAUCAUUUGAUUCUAAUUGAAAAAAAAAAAAAAAUGAAGCGAUUUGUAUACAUCAAUGAUGAUGAAUCGCCAACACAAGAACUUUACUGUGAUAAUCGCAUAUCAAACAGAAAAUAUACCUUACUGAAUUUUCUCCCCAAAAAUUUGUGGGAGCAGUUCAGCCGGUUCAUGAACCAAUAUUUCUUGUUGAUUGCUUGUCUUCAGUUGUGGUCACUUAUUACUCCAGUAAACCCUGCCAGUACUUGGGGUCCGCUUAUUUUUAUAUUUGCAGUAUCAGCAACCAAAGAAGCUUGGGAUGAUUAUAAUAGAUAUCUCUCAGACAAGAAAGCGAACGAGAAAGAAGUGUGGGUUGUUAGGAAGGGCAUCAAAAAGCAUAUCCAAGCACAGGACAUUCAUGUGGGUAAUAUAGUGUGGCUUCGAGAAAAU